rnacentral:rRNA from 1 species
CACGGGUGAGUAACACGUAUCCAACCUGCCGUCUACUCUUGGACAGCCUUCUGAAAGGAAGAUUAAUACAAGAUGGCAUCAUGAGUCCACAUGUUCACAUGAUUAAAGGUAUUCCGGUAGACGAUGGGGAUGCGUUCCAUUAGAUAGUAGGCGGGGUAACGGCCUACCUAGUCUUCGAUGGAUAGGGGUUCUGAGAGGAAGGUCCCCCACAUUGGAACUGAGACACGGUCCAA